rnacentral:rRNA from 1 species
GACGAACGCUGGCGGCGUGCUUAACACAUGCAAGUCGAACGAGAAUCUGCGGAAAGAGGAUUCGUCCAAUUGAAGCAGAGGACAGUGGCGGACGGGUGAGUAACGCGUGAGGAACCUGCCUUUCAGAGGGGGACGAACAGUUGGAAACGACUGCUAAUACCGCAUGACACAUAGGUGUCGCAUGGCACUUAUGUCAAAGAUUUAUCGCUGAAAGAUGGCCUCGCGUCUGAUUAGCUAGUUGGUGAGGUAACGGCCCACCAAGGCGACGAUCAGUAGCCGGACUGAGAGGUUGAACGGCCACAUUGGGACUGAGACACGGCCCAGACUCCUACGGGAGGCAGCAGUGGGGAAUAUUGCACAAUAGGAGGAAACUCCGAUGCAGCGACGCCGCGUGAGCGAAGAAGUAUUUCGGUAUGUAAAGACUCUGU